UACGGAGGGGGCUAGCGUUGUUCGGAAUUACUGGGCGUAAAGCGCGCGUAGGCGGACCUGCAAGUCGGGGGUGAAAGCCCGAGGCUCAACCUCGGAACUGCCUUCGAUACUGCGGGUCUCGAGUCCGGGAGAGGUGAGUGGAAUUCCUAGUGUAGAGGUGAAAUUCGUAGAUAUCGGGAGGAACACCAGUGGCGAAGGCGGCCACCUGGACGGACACUGACGCUGAGACGCGAAAGCGUGGGUAGCAAACAGG
rnacentral:rRNA from 1 species